rnacentral:rRNA from 1 species
AUUGAACGCUGGCGGCAGGCCUAACACAUGCAAGUCGAGCGGAUGAAGGGAGCUUGCUCCUGGAUUCAGCGGCGGACGGGUGAGUAAUGCCUAGGAAUCUGCCUGGUAGUGGGGGAUAACGUCCGGAAACGGGCGCUAAUACCGCAUACGUCCUGUGGGAGAAAGUGGGGGAUCUUCGGACCUCACGCUAUCAGAUGAGCCUAGGUCGGAUUAGCUAGUUGGUGGGGUAAAGGCCUACCAAGGCGACGAUCCGUAACUGGUCUGAGAGGAUGAUCAGGCACACUGGAACUGAGACACGGUCCGGACUCCUACGGGAGGCAGCAGUGGGGAAUAUUGGACAAUGGGCGAAAGCCUGAUCCAGCCAUGCCGCGUGUGUGAAGAAGGUCUUCGGAUUGUAAAGCACUUUAAGUUGGGAGGAAGGGCAGUAAGUUAAUACCUUGCUGUUUUGACGUUACCAACAGAAUAAGCACCGGCUAACUUCGUG